ACGCUGGCGGCAUGCUUUACACAUGCAAGUCGGACGGCAGCACAGAGAAGCUUGCUUCUUGGGUGGCGAGUGGCGGACGGGUGAGUAACAUAUCGGAACGUACCGAGCAGUGGGGGAUAACUAAUCGAAAGAUUAGCUAAUACCGCGUAUUUUCUGAGGAAGAAAGCAGGGGACCAUUUGGCCUUGCGCUGUUUGAGCGGCCGAUAUCUGAUUAGCUAGUUGGUGGGGUAAAGGCCUACCAAGGCGACGAUCAGUAGCGGGUCUGAGAGGAUGAUCCGCCACACUGGGACUGAGACACGGCCUAGACUCCUACGGGAGGCAGCAGUGGGGAAUUUUGGACAAUGGGCGCAAGCCUGAUCCAGCCAUGCCGCGUGUCUGAAGAAGGCCUUCGGGUUGUAAAGGACUUUUGUCAGGGAAGAAAAGGGCGGGGUUAAUACCCCUGUCUGAUGACGGUACCUGAAGAAUAAGCACCGGCUAACUACGUGCCAGCAGCCACGGUAAUACGUAGGGUGCGAGCGUUAAUCGGAAUUACUGGGCGUAAAGCGGGCGCAGACGGUUACUUAAGCAGGAUGUGAAAUCCCCGGGCUCAACCUGGGAACUGCGUUCUGAACUGGGUGACUAGAGUGUGUCAGAGGGAGGUAGAAUUCCACGUGUAGCAGUGAAAUGCGUAGAGAUGUGGAGGAAUACCGAUGGCGAAGGCAGCCUCCUGGGAUAACACUGACGUUCAUGCCCGAAAGCGUGGGUAGCAAACAGGAUUAGAUACCCUGGUAGUCCACGCCCUAAACAAUGUCGAUUAGCUGUUGGGCAGCAUGACUGCUUAGUAGCGAAGCUAACGCGUGAAAUCGACCGGCCUGGGGAGUACGGUCGCAAGAUUAAAACUCAAAGGAAUUGACGGGGACCCGCACAAGC
rnacentral:rRNA from 1 species